UUGUUAAGAAAAUAGAUUUCUAGGCUUCCAGCGAUCUACUGAAUCAGAGUAUCUGUGAGUGGAGUCCAGGAAUCUGUGUUUUUGACCACAUGCCCC
rnacentral:miRNA from 14 species